CUAGCCGCAGGCCUAACACAUGCAAGUCGAGGGGUAGAGUGCUUCGGCACUUGAGACCGGCGCACGGGGUGCGUAACACGUGUACAAUCUACCUUUUGCUAAGGGAUAGCCCGAAGAAAUUUGGAUUAAUACCUUAUAGUAUUGUUUGGUGGCAUCACUGAAUAAUUAAAGCUCUGGUGGCAAAAGAUGAGUACGCGUCCCAUUAGCUAGUUGGUGUGGUAACGGCAUACCAAGGCUACGAUGGGUAGGGGUCCUGAGAGGGAGGUCCCCCACACUGGUACUGAGACACGGACCAGACUCCUACGGGAGGCAGCAGUGAGGAAUAUUGGACAAUGGUCGGAAGACUGAUCCANCCAUGCCGCGUGCAGGAUGACGGCCUUAUGGGUUGUAAACUGCUUUUAUACAGGAAGAAUAAGGUCUACGAGUAGAUUGAUGACGGUACUGUAUGAAUAAGCAUCGGCUAACUCCGUGCCAGCAGCCGCGGUAAUACGGAGGAUGCGAGCGUUAUCCGGAAUCAUUGGGUUUAAAGGGUCCGUAGGCGGGCUUAUAAGUCAGAGGUGAAAGCACUGAGCUCAACUGAGUAACUGCCUUUGAAACUGUAGGUCUUGAAUGUUUGUGAAGUAGCUGGAAUGUGUAGUGUAGCGGUGAAAUGCAUANAUAUUACACAGAACACCGAUUGCGAAGGCAUGUUACUAACAAAUUAUUGACGCUGAUGGACGAAAGCGUGGGGAGCGAACAGGAUUAGAUACCCUGGUAGUCCACGCUGUAAACGAUGGAUACUAGCUGUUUGGAAUUAACUCUGAGGGGCUAAGCGAAAGUGAUAAGUAUCCCACCUGGGGAGUACGCACNCNAGUGUGAAACUCAAAGGAAUUGACGGGGGCCCGCNCAANCGGUGGAGCAUGUGGUUUAAUUCGAUGNUACGCGAGGAACCUUACCAAGGUUUAAAUGGGAAACGACAUACCUAGAGAUAGGNUUUCUUCGGACG
rnacentral:rRNA from 1 species